rnacentral:rRNA from 1 species
AUUGAACGCUGGCGGCAUGCUUUACACAUGCAAGUCGAACGGUAACAGGCCUUCGGGUGCUGACGAGUGGCGAACGGGUGCGUAAUGCAUCGGAACGUGCCCAGAGUUGGGGGAUAACGCAGCGAAAGCUGUGCUAAUACCGCAUGUGAUCUGAGUAUGAAAGCGGGGGACCAGGCAGCAAUGUUUGGCCUCGCGCCUUUGGAGCGGCCGAUGUCAGAUUAGGUAGUUGGUGGGGUAAAGGCCUACCAAGCCGACGAUCUGUAGCUGGUCUGAGAGGACGACCAGCCACACUGGGACUGAGACACGGCCCAGACUCCUACGGGAGGCAGCAGUGGGGAAUUUUGGACAAUGGGCGCAAGCCUGAUCCAGCAAUGCCGCGUGCGGGAAGAAGGCCUUCGGGUUGUAAACCGCUUUUGUACGGAACGAAAAGGCUCUGGCUAAUACCUGGGGCUGAUGACGGUACCGUAAGAAUAAGCACCGGCUAACUACGUG